rnacentral:tRNA from 1 species
GGGGAAAGGUCCAUUUCAGACGCUUAAAAUCUGUGCAUUAAUCUGCCACC